AUGAACGCUGGCGGCGUGCCUAAUACCUGCAAGUCGCGCGCACAGACGAGGAGCUUGCUCCUCUGACGUUAGCGGCGGACGGGUGAGUAACACGUGGAUAACCUACCUAUAAGACUGGGAUAACUUCGGGAAACCGGAGCUAAUACCGGAUAAUAUAUUGAACCGCAUGGUUCAAUAGUGAAAGACGGUUUUGCUGUCACUUAUAGAUGGAUCCGCGCCGCAUUAGCUAGUUGGUAAGGUAACGGCUUACCAAGGCAACGAUGCGUAGCCGACCUGAGAGGGUGAUCGGCCACACUGGAACUGAGACACGGUCCAGACUCCUACGGGAGGCAGCAGUAGGGAAUCUUCCGCAAUGGGCGAAAGCCUGACGGAGCAACGCCGCGUGAGUGAUGAAGGUCUUCGGAUCGUAAAACUCUGUUAUUAGGGAAGAACAAAUGUGUAAGUAACUAUGCACGUCUUGACGGUACCUAAUCAGAAAGCCACGGCUAACUACGUG
rnacentral:rRNA from 1 species